CGUCACUUCCGGUUUCGGACAGGUAAUGGCGGACAUGCGAUAGUUCGGGCUGACUUAUAUUCCAACAUAGGAAGUGUUAUAAACAGCUGAUCGGAUCGGCAAAGCCUGUUUCUGGAAUAUUGUGUUUUUGUUGCUGCAAGUCUGGAAUAUUAUGUUUUUGUUGCUGGAAGUGCUUUUUAUGCAAUUUUUUGCAAAGCUAUAUGUGGAAGAAAACCGUGACCUAGGGCAAGCUAAUGGAAUAAGAUAUGGCAGGAGUGACGCCCACUGUGGUCUUCUGCUGCUGCUUCAUCCGUUUUAAGGUUCAACUUGACACCCACGUGUGCUCUUCUGCAAACCUUGGCUGUAUCAGGUAAUUAUUUGAGUUAUUAUUGGCUUCCCAUUUUUUCUGAGAUUUUGCUCUGUGCUAACAUGGCACAUCACACAGUUGCUCCAGGUUUGUUGGCAGAUUUGUUGGCUCCUCUUCUAUCACAUCUCGACAGGUGUCCAAAGCAGGCUGGCCAUUCUUCUCUGACCUCUGGCAUCAACAAGGCACGUCCACCAAGAGAACUGCUGUUCACUGCAUAAUUUCUCUUGUUCAGACUAUUCUCUAUAAACCCUAAAGAUGGUUGUGUGGGGAAAAAACCCAGUAAAUCAGCAGCUUCUGAAAUGUUCAGACCUGGUUUAUGGUUGAACAAUGCUUAUGAUGGUACUUAUAGGGAAAAGGAAAACAAUCCUCAUCACAUUUUUAAAUGUAAGAUAAGAGGACAGUUGAAUAGUGUAUCAUACAUGAUCUGCACCAAUAUAAUACAAAUAAAAAUAUAAAAAGGCAA